rnacentral:misc_RNA from 1 species
GAUGAAGAACGUAGCGAAAUGCGAUAAGUAAUGUGAAUUGCAGAAUUCAGUGAAUCAUCGAAUCUUUGAACGCACAUUGCGCCCGCCAGUAUUCUGGCGGGCAUGCCUGUUCGAGCGUCAUUUCAACCAUCAAGCCCCCGGGCUUGUGUUGGGGACCUGCGGCUGCCGCAGGCCCUGAAAAGCAGUGGCGGGCUCGCUGUCACACCGAGCGUAGUAGAUUUUAUCUCGCUCUGGGCGUGCUGCGGGUUCCGGCCGUUAAACCACCCUUUUAACCCAAGGUUGACCUCGGAUCAGGUAGGAAGACCCGCUGAACUUAAGCAUAUCAAUAAGCGGAGA